CGGCACGUCGGCACGUCGGCCUCCCCUUAGCGAGGCUGCUGGGAAGAGGACUCAGGACCUCGGGGUUUGAGGCCUGCCUUGUGCUGUCGGCCAGCAGCUCGCGGGCCCUUCGGGAGGGAGAGGACACCUGGGCCGCUGAGCAGACUCUCACCGCACCCUCGAGGCCUGCCCUCCCGGGGACCCGAGGAGCUGAUCCCCUCCCGUGCGCGGCCUGCGCCAGCCGCCAGCCGGAGCCAGUGGGUUAAGGAGAUGAGUAAAGGAGGGCGUGGAGCCUCAGCUUGGCCGCAGGGAAUGAAAUGUGAAGCACAUAACAUUUUGCAUCUACUCAAAGAAGACUGAGAUUGGCUGACAGGUCUCAUCUUUUCUGGAGGGGAAAACUUGUCCAGAGCUUGGUUGCCUCCCAAGAGAGUCCACCCAGAGUCCUAGAAAACAAUGUUGCUAAACUGAAAGGGAUUGGGAGUGGAGGAACAGACAAGUCCAACAGCAGCAAGGUCCAUGAAGAAUGUGCUGCCGGAAGUGUUUCUGAGAUUCAGCUGCUCCUGAAGUUGAAGAAAAGCACAUCUGGGAGGAGAAAUAUGUCGCCAACUCUGUGGUCCUUUGGAGAACUUAAGACCCUUGAGUCUGUAACCUUGGAAGCAAGAUUGGGAUCCAGUAAAACUGAGGUCAAGUGCUGCUCUGCUCGAACUCCCUCUUCAAUGCCCAGGGGUAUCCAACCGCAGCCCUACCGGGAUACCCUGAAGCCAGAUGCUCCCCAAUUCUCCUCACCUACACAACAACCUUCAUGCAGUUCUAAGAAUCACAACAGGAACGUGCAGCCGCUCCUGUGAACUUACACGGAUGUUCUCAGAUUGCUAAUGUGACAUCUAGACAGAAAUUCACAUAUAUUAGGAUAUCAGGUGGGGAUAACUCAAACAGUUGGGAAGAGAUUCCUGUACUAUUUCCUUCCUUCCUUUCCUUCCCUUGCCUUCCCCCUUCCCUCCCUCCCUCCUUCCCUCCCUCCCUCCCUCCCUCCUCCUUUUUUUUUUUUUUAUUUUAAAUCAGUAGUUUUAUUACAAUACACACUGACACACAAUUAGAGAAGGAAUGUCCUGACGUUUUCUGAGCAUUUCACGGAAAGCAAAUGUAACCAUCCAGGCAGUCAAGUCAUCCAUA
rnacentral:lncRNA from 12 species